GCUAAACUCUGCAGGACAUCGGCCCUCCAGGACCGAGUUUGGGCACCUCUGGACUAUGACUUCAGCUUCUAAGUUGCAUCUCCAACUUAAAUAUUGUGGCAUCAUUCACAACUGCUUUGUAUGCCUGUGGGGAAAUGUUAAACAUCAUUAAAAAGAUCUCUGGUAACCAUCUGCGGUGUGAUCUAGUCAUGCAGGCUACUUACUGAGACCAGAAUGAAUAUGGAUAGGG